GAUGAACGCUGACCGAAUGCUUAACACAUGCAAGUCAACUGUGGCGGACGGGUGAGUAACGCGUAAAGAACUUGCCCCAUAGAUAGGGACAACAUUCGGAAACGAAUGCUAAUACCAGAUACUGUGAGAGAGCUUUGCGUCCUAUUAGCUAGUUGGAGAGGUAACGGCACACAAAGGCGAUGAUGGGUAGCAGGCCUGAGAGGGUGAUCGGCCACAAGGGGACUGAGACACAGCCAUUACUCUGACGGGAGGAAGCAGUGGGGAAUAUUGGGCAAUGGACCAAAGUCUGAUCCAGCAAUGCUGUGUGCACGAUGAAGUUUUCGGAAUGUAAAGUGCUUUCAGUGGGGAAGCGGUACCAACAGAAGAAGUGACGGCUAAAUACGUGCCAGCAGCCGCGGUAAUAC
rnacentral:rRNA from 1 species